rnacentral:rRNA from 1 species
UGACCAGACUCCUACGGGAGGCAGCAGUGGGGAAUAUUGCACAAUGGGGGAAACCCUGAUGCAGCGACGCCGCGUGAAGGAAGAAGUAUUUCGGUAUGUAAACUUCUAUCAGCAGGGAAGAAAAUGACGGUACCUGACUAAGAAGCCCCGGCUAACUACGUGCCAGCAGCCGCGGUAAUACGUAGGGGGCAAGCGUUAUCCGGAUUUACUGGGUGUAAAGGGGGCGCAGACGGCGAUGCAAGCCAGGAGUGAAAGCCCGGGGCCCAACCCCGGGACUGCUCUUGGAACUGCGUGGCUAGAGUGCAGGAGGGGCAGGCGGAAUUCCUGGUGUAGCGGUGAAAUGCGUAGAUAUCAGGAGGAACACCGGUGGCGAAGGCGGCCUGCUGGACUGCAACUGACGUUGAGGCCCGAAAGCGUGGGGAGCAAACAGGAUUAGAUACCCCAGUAC